UACGUAGGGUGCAAGCGUUGUCCGGAAUUAUUGGGCGUAAAGAGCUUGUAGGCGGUUUGUCGCGUCUGCUGUGAAAUUUCGGGGCUCAACCCCGAACUUGCAGUGGGUACGGGCAGACUAGAGUGUGGUAGGGGAGACUGGAAUUCCUGGUGUAGCGGUGAAAUGCGCAGAUAUCAGGAGGAACACCGAUGGCGAAGGCAGUGAUCUGGGCCAGUACUGACGCUGAGGAGCGAAAGCGUGGGGAGCAAACAGG
rnacentral:rRNA from 1 species